AGAGUUUGAUCAUGGCUCAGAUUGAACGCUGGCGGUAUGCCUAACACAUGCAAGUCGAACGAGGUAGCAAUACCUAGUGGCGGACGGGUGAGGAAUACGUAGGGAUCUGCCCUUAAGUGGGGGAUAACCCGGGAAACCGGAUUAAUACCGCAUGAUCUCGCAAGAGCAAAGGAGUAAUCCGCACUAAGAUGGACCCGCGGCGCAUUAGCUAGUUGGUGAGGUAACGGCUCACCAAGGCGACGAUGCGUAGCCGACCUGAGAGGGUGAUCGGCCACAUUGGAACUGAGACACGGUCCAGACUCCUACGGGAGGCAGCAGUGGGGAAUAUUGCACAAUGGGCGAAAGCCUGAUGCAGCAACGCCGCGUGAGUGAUGAAGGCCUUCGGGUUGUAAAGCUCUGUCUUUGGGGACGAUUAUGACGGUACCCAAGGAGGAAGCCACGGCUAACUACGUG
rnacentral:rRNA from 1 species